UACGGGGGGGGCAAGCGUUGUUCGGAAUUACUGGGCGUAAAGGGCUCGUAGGUGGCCAAUUAAGUCAGACGUGAAAUCCCUCGGCUUAACCGGGGAACUGCGUCUGAUACUGAGGGUCUCGAGUCCGGGAGAGGUGAGUGGAACUGCGAGUGUAGAGGUGAAAUUCGUAGAUAUUCGCAAGAACACCAGUGGCGAAGGCGGCUCACUGGCCCGGUACUGACGCUGAGGUGCGAAAGCGUGGGGAGCAAUCAGG
rnacentral:rRNA from 1 species